GCGGGGAGAGCGUCUGACUGAAAAUCUGAAGGUCGCGUGUUCGAUCCACGCUCACGGCA
rnacentral:tRNA from 1 species